AAGAAAUGUCCAUUUGCAGUAUGGAAAUGAUUUAUGUUUUCUAAACAGGAUGGAUCUUCCACAUACGGUGGUGGUGGACCUUAUGGUCAGGAUUCACCUUCCAUAGGAGACGGUGAAUCUGAUGAAAGUGAUUCACCCUCACCCUCGCCAUCUGGCAGCCAGCAGAGUGGAGCGGAUUUUUAUUCACCAGGAGGCAGCCAAUCAGGUGGACAUGGAUCAUCUUCUCAAGGUGGUAGUUACCCCAGUCGACAGGGCUCACCUUCGUCAGGAAGCAGCCAGUAUGGUGGGCAGGGUUCACCUUCUUCAGGAGGCAGCCAAUCUGGUGGACAGAGUGGAUGUGAUUGUUCCGGGGGGAGCUCUGGUGGAUCACCUACCUUAGCCAGAAGUGAUUCCUCUGCAAAUGGUUCAUCAUCUUCUGGAGGCAGCCAGUACAAUAGACAAGAUUCACCCUCACCCUCGCCAUCUGGCAGCCAGCAGAGUGGAGCGGGUUCCUAUUCCUCUGGAGCUAGCCAGUAUGGAGAACGGGGAUCAUCAUCUUACGGAGGCAGCAGUUACAGUGGACAGGGUUCACCCUUUUCAGGAGGAAGCCAGCAUGGUGGGCAGGGUUCACAUUUCUCAGGAGGCAGCGAGUAUGGUGGACAGGGUCCCUAUUUCUCAGGUGGCAGCCAUUAUGGAGGACAGGGUGUGGCUUCUUCAGAAAGCAACCAGUAUAGUAGACAGGGCUUUCCUUCAGGAGGAAGCCAAUCUGGUGGACAGGGUGGAUGUCUGUGUCCUGGUGGAAGUUCAGGCUCUCCUGCAGGAAGCAGCUACUAUGGUGGACAGGGUUCAUCUCWUUCUGGAAGCAGUCAGUACGGUGGGCAGGGCUCAUCUUCUGGAGGCCAACCACAUGGUAAACCAGGUUCAUCUUCCUCAGGAGGCAGACACCAAGGAAAGCCAGGGUCUUCUACUUCAGGAAACCCUUAUUCUGGUAAACAGAAUUCAUCUCCCUCAGGGGGCAGCCAAGUGAGCUCUGCUGGGAAACACUCCAGUCCUGGAGUCCUGCUGCUAUUGAGUGUUUUGAGUGCCUUUGCUGCCUCUGCUGCUAUCUCAAAGUGGUCUAUAUGAACUUCUGAAGAUGUACCUGGCAUCCUAGACAUUGAUUAUACUCUGUAAUAUUAGAUUAACUACUUGUUGUAAGAAAAAAAAUUAAGUCAAAUUGGCAUAUGUUAUUUGGCUGUUAUGUUGUAUGUCUGUUUAAUAUGCAAUGCCUCUGAUUAGUUUACCUUUAGUUUUAGUAAUUAGUAGAUGUCAUUAGUUUUAUCAGCGUUUUAGACAUCAUUUUAACAGAGCAUAUUGUGCCCUACCGAUAUGAUUUUUUUUUUAUUUCCAACUAGGAAUGUGAUGAAUACUCAAUUGAAAUUUGAUUUGUUGCUUAGAAAAUAUUUGGUUACUAACCAAAAGGAGGGGUAAGGGGGAUCAAACAAAUUGCUCUGUAUGCAAACCGAGCACUGUCACUGGUCAUCAUCACAUAAAAUGAAGCUAAUUACAAUUUCUGGUAAUCAACCCUUCAUGGGACAGAAGAAGAGAGGCUAAGAUAAUAUCCGAGUGCUGUUUUAGUGUGUUGUAGUUAAAUUCAAGUUCAAUAUGGAGGUUGCAAAGCAGAACAAAUAUUUCAUGGCUCUGAAACUUGGGGGGGGGGGGGAUGUUAAACUUCAUCCACUGGAGAAAUCAAACAGCCUAGAGCAAAGAAAUAUUAAACUCUGUUCAAACCAACUGCAAAUGCCUGGAGUUCUGUAGAGCAGCACAGAAGGCAGCGUAGUGCAGAUUAGGCUGAUAGCCUAUAAAGUGCUGGAAAACAACAUUUUCACUGGGAAUUAAUGGAAAUUUAAUUAAGUUCAUAAAACUGAUAAAAUCCUGAGAUUGGCCCCUUUUCUCAAGUAUUUUGUCUAACCUGUGAUACCUGAUGUAUCUGCAAGUUUAAUUUCAAGAAUGAUGAUACCUGAUGUAUCUGCAAGUUUAAUUUCAAGAAUGAUGCUGAAAUCUACACAGCAGUACAGUAAAUGGGGUCACAGAAAACCAUGGCCAAUCUUUGGGUUCAAAAGCAGUUCCACAUUUUGCAGCACAU
ensembl:lncRNA